UAGAAACACAUUAAAUCAUGCAACACUUGGCUGAGUGUUAAUGUAUGCGAUUAAUGCCACGGAACAGGAAGUUGUUGUAACUCAGGCAUACAAUGUCUGAUCUGCUCCAAACUUCACAUGUUCGAUAAUAGUCCUGGCUUGAAGACAUCUACAAGACAAUAUUCAGUUAAGGUCAAAGCACCACGUUUUGGCAGCAGGAAGUCUGGCACUUUGAAAUGACUUUUCCAUAAUUCUCCUGUAUUUACUCGCUUACAUGCAUGUCGCCCACUGUUCACUGGUUUCCUGAGGCCAACGGUUGGCGGUGAGCCCGGGUGCGAGGGCCCUUUCAUCGCUGCUUGCAGCUUUAAUUCAGGAUAUUUUGUAGAAAUCAGGACUCACCAGUCACAGCUCCAGUGCAGUUGCCACACAGAUGUUGAGUAGUGUGAAUGAGAUGAAGAGUGAAUCUGUCCAGUCAAAUGGAGCAUCUAAACACAGUCUACUCGAAGAUCAUCUGGACUCCAAUGGAUGUAAACUUACAGACACCCACAACUCAGACAGAAAUGGCUCAGUGAAGCACCAACAUGACUGCCAGAGUCUAGACAGGCCAACAAAAAAGUGCUGGACAGAAUCAGAGUCUCUGGCCUAGGUUGAGAUGGACCCUUCCAGGAUAAAAGAAGACUGAACAAGACCAAAGGUCAGGCCAAAAUCUUAAACUAGGGAGAUGGGACAGCAUUGUGACACCUCUCAGCCCAUCCACCCUAAACCCAAAGCUGAGCUGCUCCAAAAACACCACCCUCCAAACCCAACUACAGCUGAUUAAUGCGCCUUUUCAUGAAACCAUUUUACAGAGAAAUGUAUAUUCUAUAUGUAACGUAAUUUGUCUGAUAUUUUUUUACCAACGAGAUAUUUAUAUUUUUUAUUGAAACAUUUUGACAAUGGGUAAAUAUGCUGUAUAAGCCAUUAUAUGUAAUACAUAAGGAUGAAUGCUGGUGGGCGUGGUCUCUUGUGUUUAGGGUGGGGCCAGUAUGUCUCCAGGCAAAUCAAGCUGUGUUUUGGUUUACAUUAUAUACUAAUGGUUCACUGCUCAGCUUCUUUGUGUUAGUGGAGGCGUACUGCCGACAGAUGUAGUAAAAAUAAAUAAGCCAAUGGAAUCACUCCUUCUAGGCUUUGUUUUAGUCAGGUGUCCAGAAAAUUGGUUCGUUAAUUGUAUUUUCUAGUAAAUUAAAUCUGUUUACUUUUUUUUUUCUUCUUUUUUUUAAUAGUGUAAGGAAAAUGAAGCCCAUUUUUAGGACCAUAAUUUAGCAUUAUAGUCAUUAGUCAUUCUCAUUAAUUUCUCAUAGAUUACUGUAAUACAUUAAUGAAAAUUAUCACCCAGUCUGAACACAGUGAUUGAUUUAAAACUACAACUGAAAUAAAGUAAACAAAAUAAAUAAAUUAAAAAUACUACUGUGAUAUGGAAAUACUUUUCUAUGUACAUUUUUUCGCAUUAAUACAAUAAGAAUAUUGAGAUAAAAUGUGCUUAGUGGCACAAAAACGUUAUAGCUCUAAAAUGGGCUUCAAUUUUAUUAUGCAAAAUAUAAUUUUUUUCUUAUGAAAAUUAAAAAAUAGAAGUCAUGCUGUUGACAGUUCUUGUGGGCUUUUCUCAUUGUUUAUGAUGGUAAAAGAGACAUGAUAUGUAGGUUUGCAUAGAUUUUUGCACAGGUUGUUUUGAUAUUCACACUGUAAAUUCAUCUUUAGUUUUUCCUUUUUGAGUAUUUUUUACAUGCAAUUCAGAAGCUGUUUGUGAGAACUCGGAUACUUGCAAUUAGUUAAACUGGAUAAUUAUAAGGUUUGUAGCCAACAAACUAUAAUAUAAUCACCACUAAGCAUACAGUUUUAAAAACAGGCAGAAAUAAUAGUUAUAGAAUUCAAAGAGGAAGUAAUGGAAUGUCUUUGACCAAAAACAAGGGUUUUUUUUUUUGUUUGUUUUUUCAUAUUUCAAUUUAUGUGGGUCAGUUGGAUUUAAUAAGUUGUACUUCCCUAGAACCAUGUUUAUUGAAAUAUGUUUAAUAUAAUGAAACAUGGAAAUGAUAUAUGUCCAUAACCACAUUUUAAGAAUAAUAUUUGAAUAUUUUGUCGACAGGAAUUCACUGUAAUACAGCUCCAGUACUCAUUUAUAAACAUCCACUCGGCUUAUAGAAACAAGUUCACUUUUUACCUCGUCCUGCAGAUGUAUCAGUCGUGCAUUUACACUUAAGAAAUCAUGGUGCUAUAUUUCCUCUAGUCAUCUUAUUUCCCUUUGUUAGUGUAAUUUGUGGUGUUUGUCACCAUUUAAGAGUUCUCUUAGCUUCAUGUAUGUGACUGUAGCAUUAAUCUUGUUUUAAAUGGUCUAGGGUGGGAUGUAUGCACUCAUUCUGAUCAGAAUACAUUAAACACAUCUUAAAUAGCAA